UAGGGAAUCUUCGGCAAUGGACGAAAGUCUGACCGAGCAACGCCGCGUGAGUGAAGAAGGUUUUCGGAUCGUAAAACUCUGUUGUUAGAGAAGAACAAGGACGUUAGUAACUGAACGUCCCCUGACGGUAUCUAACCAGAAAGCCACGGCUAACUACGUGCCAGCAGCCGCGGUAAUACGUAGGUGGCAAGCGUUGUCCGGAUUUAUUGGGCGUAAAGCGAGCGCAGGCGGUUUCUUAAGUCUGAUGUGAAAGCCCCCGGCUCAACCGGGGAGGGGCAUUGGAAACUGGGAGACUUGAGUGCAGAAGAGGGGAGUGGAAUUCCAUGUGUAGCGGUGAAAUGCGUAGAUAUAUGGAGGAAAACCAGUGGCGAAGGCGGCUCUCUGGUCUGUAACUGACGCUGAGGCUCGAAAGCGUGGUGAGCAAACAGG
rnacentral:rRNA from 1 species